rnacentral:rRNA from 1 species
UACGUAGGGGGCAAGCGUUGUCCGGAAUCAUUGGGCGUAAAGCGCGUGUAGGCGGCCCGGAAAGUCUGGUGUGAAAACUUGAGGCUCAACCUCAAGCUGUCACUGGAUACUAUCGGGCUUGAGUCCGGAAGAGGAGAAUGGAAUUCCUGGUGUAGCGGUGGAAUGCGCAGAUAUCAGGAGGAACACCAAUGGCGAAGGCAGCUCUCUGGUACGGUAUUGACGCUGAGACGCGAAAGCGUGGGGAGCGAACAGG